CCUUAGCUCACUGGUGGAUCAGAAAAUACUUAUCCUUAAAGUUGUUAAUUUAACUGACAUCUAGCCUUGUAAAUCUAUCCCAUUCUUGAAGUUACUGAUCAAAUUUGCGAGCAUUAAGUCAGCAGUGAAUUAUUAACUUUAGAAAUGUUACUGCUCCUUCAAUUAAAAGUGUAUACUUUAUUUUACCAAUGAAGUCUCUUAAACAGAUCUCCAAAGAGUUUGAUCUAUUACCCUUGGAAGAAUGUGUAUUCCAUUUUAAAGAAAAUACAUUCCCAUAUUUUUAAAACACAUUUAAUUCCUUUUUAGCCUCUCUUAAUUAUUCCCAUGUGUUCCAUAGCCCCCUAAGCAAUAAUCUGCUGAUUUGAACAAUACAUUUCUGGCACUGUAACAGCCCCAUUGGAAAUAUUCAAGUACAACUGCUACAAUAUUGUGAUCUA